rnacentral:rRNA from 1 species
AUGGCUCAUUUCAAUCAUGAUAAAAUUAGCCAUACCGUUGUUGACUAUUUCAAAGAUAUCUUUCAAACUAACAAUGCAGAUCAUGAAAGGCCAUACAUAGCAAUAGGUGAGGAUCAUUCAAAUUACACUAUUAACAUCCCUGAUAAACAGGAAGUUUGGGGCAUCUUGAAGGGAAUGAGAGCCAAUGCAUCAGCAGGGCCAGAUGGACUGAAUGUAGCAUUCUACUUGGCUGCCUGGGAUUGGAUAGGAGAUGACAUCACCAAUUUGGAAGCCAUGUCAUCCAAUCAUUUAUCACAUAUAUCUCUCAGACCAAACUGCCCCCUAUCCAGUCCCUUAUGUUUGCUGAUGAUCUACUUGUUUGUGGUUGGGCCACCACACUAG